rnacentral:rRNA from 1 species
AGAGUUUGAUCCUGGCUCAGAAUCAACGCUGGCGGCGCGCCUAACACAUGCAAGUCGCACGAGAAAGGCUCCUUCGGGGGCUGAGUACAGUGGCGCACGGGUGAGUAACACGUGGAUACCUGCCCUCAAGUGGGGAAUAACUUUGGGAAACCGGGGCUAAUACCGCAUACGUUCGAGAGAAGAAAGCAGCAAUGCGCUUGAGGAGGGGUCCGCGGCUGAUUAGCUAGUUGGUGGGGUAAAAGCCUACCAAGGCAAAGAUCAGUAGCCGGCCUGAGAGGGCACACGGCCACACUGGCACUGAGACACGGGCCAGACUCCUACGGGAGGCAGCAGUGGGGAAUCUUGCACAAUGGAGGAAACUCUGAUGCAGCGACGCCGCGUGAGCGAAGAAGCCUUUCGGGGUGUAAAGCUCUUACGCCAGGGACGAUAAUGACGGUACCUGGAGAAGCAGCUGCGGCUAACUACGUGCCAGCAGCCGCGGUAAUACGUAGGCAGCAAGCGUUGUUCGGAAUUACUGGGCGUAAAGGGUGCGUAGGCGGCGCUCUAAGUUUGGUGUGAAAUCUCCCGGCUUAACUGGGAGGGUGCACUGAAAACUGGGGCGCUCGAGUAUGGGAGAGGAAAGCGGAAUUCCUGGUGUAGCGGUGAAAUGCGUAGAGAUCAGGAGGAACACCUGC